UAAGAGGUCCCGCCUGCCCUGCGAUUCAUGUAUUUAACGGCCGCGGUAUUUUGACCGUGCAAAGGUAGCGCAAUCACUUGUCUUUUAAAUGAAGACCUGUAUGAAUGGCAUAACGAGGGCUUAACUGUCUCCCCUCUCCAGUCAAUGAAAUUAAUCUUCCCGUGCAGAAGCGGGAAUAACCCCAUAAGACGAGAAGACCCUGUGGAGCUUUAGAUACAAGAGCAGCCCGUGUUAAAACAACCCUUUCAAAGAACUAAACCAAUCGACGCCUGCUCCACUGUCUUUGGUUGGGGCGACCGCGGGGUAACAAAUAACCCCCACGUAGAACAAAAGAACUAUUCUUUGAAGUAAGAGCCACCCCUCUAACUAACAGAACUUCUGACUAACAAUGAUCCGGUAUAUUCCGAUCAACGAACCGAGUUACCCCAGGGAUAACAGCGCAAUCCUCUUCCAGAGCCCAUAUCGACAAGGGGGUUUACGACCUCGAUGUUGGAUCAGGACAUCCUAAUGGUGCAGCAGCUAUUAAGGGUUCGUUUGUUCAACG
rnacentral:rRNA from 1 species